rnacentral:rRNA from 1 species
GACGAACGCUGGCGGCGUGCUUAACACAUGCAAGUCGAACGGAAAGGCCUCUUUCGGGGGGUACUCGAGUGGCGAACGGGUGAGUAACACGUGAGUAACCUGCCCUUGACUUUGGGAUAACUUCAGGAAACUGGGGCUAAUACCGGAUAGGAGCUCCUGCUGCAUGGUGGGGGUUGGAAAGUUUCGGCGGUUGGGGAUGGACUCGCGGCUUAUCAGCUUGUUGGUGGGGUAGUGGCUUACCAAGGCUUUGACGGGUAGCCGGCCGGAGAGGGUGACCGGCCACAUUGGGACUGAGAUACGGCCCAGACUCCUACGGGAGGCAGCAGGGGGGAAUAUUGCACAAGGGGUGGAAGCCUGAUGCAGCAACGCCGUGUGCGGGAUGACGGCCUUCGGGUUGUAAACCGCUUUCGCUCAUGACGAAGCUUUGUGUGACGGUAGUGGGUAAAGAAGCACCGGCUAACUACGUG